rnacentral:tRNA from 3 species
GGGCUCUUAGCUCAGUGGUUUAGAGCGCUCGCCUCACACGCGAGAGGUCACAGGUUCGAAUCCCGUAGGGCCCACCA